GACAGUAAUGACGAGGACAAAUAGGGUCUUUCUCUUUUACUGUGUUUUAAUAUGUUCCUUUAGGUUUGUAUCUUUAGUAUGACAGAGAGCUGUCGGUUAUGGAAUAUCCAAAAUCUGCAUGGGGCUUUUGAGCCACUCUGAUUAGUCUGAGGCAGAUGAAUUCAACCUGGAAACUGGAAGAAGUUAAGGCCAAAGAUCAUCUCUCCAGAGGCUCUUGGGGCAAAUUUAUCUUACUGAUGUUAGAGGAUGUUAAGAAGUCAGUCAUCGGAGAGUAUCAAGGCAGCUGGUUCCAAAAGAAACUGACUGAAAAUCCUUCCCUCUCUCUUGUAACAAAUGACAACUACAAAAAUCAAGAUUUCCAUUUCUACAAUACCAAGCUCUCUUUUAGAAAAAUCAGAGGGAUUCGUAUGUGAGAUCCAAGAAAUGCACAGUAUUGUCCCAGACUGCGCUAUGUUUCUAGAUGG
rnacentral:lncRNA from 1 species